GAUGAACGCUGGCGGCGUGCCUAAUACAUGCAAGUCGAGCGAACAGAUGAGGAGCUUGCUCCUCUGACGUUAGCGGCGGACGGGUGAGUAACACGUGGAUAACCUACCUAUAAGACUGGGAUAACUUCGGGAAACCGGGGCUAAUACCGGAUAAUAUAUUGAACCGCAUGGUUCAAUAGUGAAAGACGGUUUUGCUGUCACUUAUAGAUGGAUCCGCGCCGCAUUAGCUAGUUGGUAAGGUAACGGCCUACCAAGGGAACGAUGCGUAGCCGACCUGAGAGGGUGAAUAGGCAAAACUGGAACUGGAAAACGUCCCAAAUCCCAACGGAGGGCAGCGUGAGGAAUUCUGCCGCAAUGGGCGAAGGCCUGACGAAGCAUACCCGCGGGAGGAAGGAGGGUUUUCGGUUCUUAAGACUCUGUGUUGAGGGAGAAAAAAAGGUGGAAAUAACUAUGCUCGUCUGAAGGUAACCAAAGCAUAAGGCCACGCUAAAUUAGUG
rnacentral:rRNA from 1 species